AUAUCUGCCCCUGCCUGUCUUUUCCACCCUGGUCCUUCAUCACUAUUUCAGUCCCUGUAUCAGUCCUCUAUGUAACUUUCUCUUGGGACUCAAGAGCCAGGAAGCAGUAGGAUCCCGCGUGGCCCCACUGCAGCUGGAGAACUCAAACGCAUGCCCACAUAGCGCACUCACCAUCCCGCCGUGUCCCGCCGUAUACAUGCUCACAGAAGCACACCAGGGCCCUCGCUCCCUGACAGCUACCAAACAGGAUGUGGGUCUUCCCUGCAGACCUAGACCAAGGCCUGUGCAACUAGCAACCCAUGCUUGCACUCUACCCUUGGGUCGCCCAGAGAGCCCUCCCUGAACCCACAGGAGACAAGCUCAACCCUGGUCCAGCCUGGCCAAAGAGGAGCUGGUUGGGAAACCAAGACUAGAGGAGAAGCUGUGACCCCCACCCCCCGCGCGUGCGCACACCCCAGGGCCACAGCGACACUCCUGCUUCUCUGCUUCCAGAUUGGGAUCUGCGGCCG
rnacentral:lncRNA from 1 species